CGUCCCGAGCGUGCUUACGCCAUCCUUUGCGUCACCGCCUUCGCCGGAAGCUGGCUUGCAUCCGCGUCUCCCCAAGGAAAACUGCGGUUGGCGGUGUGGGAAGUGCUAGUAGUAGUUGCUUAUUUGUUUGUUUGCAGAAAUAAUUGCGUGGGUACGAAGGUCAAACGAGAAUGAAGCAAGUAUAUUAUCUAGUUUGUAUGUCUUUAAAUAGUUUCUCCUCCACACGUCUAAACAUACGCACCUGCUAGUAGGUGCGCAAAUGUUAAAACCUCUUUGGGAAAGCAAUGUGGCAAAAUCUAGUAAAAAAAGGUUUUCAAUUGCUAAACCCCAGCACUGUGCUCCUACCUAUAUGUGUUGUAGAAACUUUGGUAAGUGAACAAGGAUGUACAUAACAGCGCUGUGGGUAGAAGCAAAAAAUUAGAAACGUCCAUCAAUAACAGAAUAAAUACCUUAUGGGAUGUUAGUUAGGAUGUAGUAGUAUACGCCAAUAAAAGAAGACUGAACUCAGAAAUGUGAUGAGGCAAAAAGAGAAAGAUGUAGAAAAAUAAAUAGUAUGACAAUUCAUAUACAUUCAACUCUAAAACUUGUAAAACAGUGCUAUAUAUUGCUUAGUUAUGCAUACAUAUGUAGUUAAAGAAGUCAAGAAAUACAAGAGAAUGAAAAUCAAGUUGAGAAAAGCGGUCAUAUUUGGAUCUGGCUCUGUCACCCAGGCUGGAGUGCAGUGGUGCUGUGUCCGGAAUUGGUGGGUUCUUGGUCUCGCUGACUUCAAGAAUGAAGCCGUGGACCCUUGCCUGAUGGAGGUUGAGAAGUCCAACUUCAAGGCACCACAUCUGGUGAGAGCCUUCAUUCCGAUGACAGCCUUCAUGCUGGUGGCAAUAGCUAAUACAUUUGCCUUUAAAUUUGUUUGACAAACACCACCCUGGAAGUAGCCUCAACUCUGGGGAAGCUCCAAGACAGGUAAAAUACAGCAACCUGCAGCAGGAAAAUGGGCUUCAGUUUUCAAGUCUGCAGCUGAGUUGGGAAGUUGCGGACAGUAACCAGUAAUACACAAUAUUGGCAACAAUGCAACAAAACGGACACACUCUACUCUCCAGCGGGAGUGUUAAAAAAAGGAAAAGAAGAGAAAGAAAAAAGGAAAGAAGCAGAAGGAAGAACUCUGCUGCAGUACUGGAAGCAGGCAGAUUAUUUAAAUUACAGUGGUGCCAUGGAACAAGAGAAGGCAGAUGAAGAGCGACACCCUUCAAGUUAA